AGCUUCAUCCUUGCUCCCUCUUUUGGAUUAUUCAAUAUAGGGUAAACUAGCAGCCACAUCCUGAGAACACUCAAACAGCCUACAGAAAGAUGCACACGGGUAGGGACUAAGGCUUCCUGCCAAUAAUCAGGGAAGAAGUAAAGUCUCCUAAGAACAGCCCUAUGAAUGAGCCAUCUUCCUGCCCCAAACGAGCCUUCAGAUGACUGCAGCCAGGCCAACGUCUUGUCUACAAUGUCAUCAUGACACAGUGAGUCAGGAUAGCCCUGCUAACUGGCUCCUGAAUUUCUGGCCCACAAACCUGUGGGAGGGAAUAGGUAUGGAAGGAUAUACAAGAAUUUCAAACAUUUAUUGAUUGUGCGAACAAUGAUUGCCUGCCAGACGGUAAUGGUACUUCCAGCAUUUCCCUUAAAGACUGUGAAACUAACAAUCUGGUAUUUCUCACUGUCGAGUUUUCCUGACCUUCAGCUUUGAAAGGCCAUCUCCCUAAGGGAAAGCAGUAAGAUCUAGAAGCUAAAACAAGAGGCUGAGGAAUCUGAGGUUAGAGUUCUAAUCCUGACAAACUGUGGAAUUUGUCUCCAAUUUUGGGAAUAAGCUAAACUUCCUGAGCCAGUUUCCUUAAUGAGUUAUCGGAGAGCGCAUCUGUACGUACACUUGCAGACCUGUUGUGGUGAUGGGGGUAAAGCUCCAAUGCAUGUACUACUGGAGACUGGUAUCUUCAGUUGCUCCCAGUGACCUGCACUCGCCAUCCAUUCAUGAAGGCAUUGAUCACUAGGAAUGAAGAGGGGUGCCUCUUCAUCUUCCAGUUCCUUGUGGCGAAGUCCGGCUCCUGACGGUGGAAGCAUCAAUGGAAAGAAAUAACUUUUCGUCUUAUCUUACUAUAAGCAGCACUGACAUUCUAGAAAGCAUUCCUUUGAUGGCAAGUCCUGUGCCAAUGUAGAUACAGCCAUUUUGAUACAGGCUGUUUUGUUAUAGUCAAUUUGCUGACACACAGCUUUGACACAGUCAUUUUGAUGCCAGGAACAUCUUGAUGUGGCUGCCUUGAAGUGGCUGUUUUGAUAUGGGAACAUUUUGACUCUGCCUAAAAACAAACCAAUAAACUUUUCACUUAGAAAAUGUUAUUACCAGGUAAUGUACAUUGACUGAUCUCACCCACUCCCUGAAGUAGCAGCCAGACUGCAGAGGUGGAUAGUGGCAACCUUGAUGGGGCAAAAAAAUCACCAUGAGCGGGGGAGAAGGCUGGAACAGUGGACCAAAUCAAUAACACAAACUGAAGAAAGAGAAAGAUUACUCUGGGGGAAGCCAGCUGCCAUGUCUUGAGUACCCACAUGCUGAGAAACAGACUUCCUGCUAGAGGCCAUGUAAGUGAGCUUGGGAACAGCCUCUCCAGCUCCGUUCAAGUCUUCAGAUGACGCCAUCCAGCAAUGGUUUCCCUGCAGUCUCCUGAGAGACCCUGAGCCAAAAUCACUCCACUAAGCCAAUCUAGAUUCCUGGCACUCAGAAACUAUGAAACCUAAGGCACUUGAGACCAUGGCAAUCAAGUACAAGGGUUAAGAACUCAGGCUCUGGAGCAAGAUGGCCUGGAUUCAAAUUCAGACUCUGCAACAUCCUGGGUCUGUGAUGUUAUACAGCUUGCUAACUUGUGCCUCAGUUUGGCCAUCUGCAAAAUGGAGAUCCUAACAGUAUCUAUCUUCUGGAGCUGUUGUAAAGACUGAAUGAGAAAAGCUACUAAAAUAUUCCAAGUAGUGUCUGGCAUACAGCAAGCGUCAAAAAGAAGGCUGUUGGGGCGCCUGGGUGGCUCAGUCGGUUGAGCGUCCGACUUCACCUCAGGUCACGAUCUCGCGGUCCGUGAGUUCGAGCCCCGGGUCAGGAUCUGGGCUGAUGGCUCAGAGCCUGGAGCCUGCU